rnacentral:rRNA from 1 species
UACAGAGGGUGCAAGCGUUAAUCGGAAUUACUGGGCGUAAAGCGCGCGUAGGUGGUUUGUUAAGUUGGAUGUGAAAGCCCCGGGCUCAACCUGGGAACUGCAUCCAAAACUGGCAGGCUAGAGUACGGUAGAGGGUGGUGGAAUUUCCUGUGUAGCGGUGAAAUGCGUAGAUAUAGGAAGGAACACCAGUGGCGAAGGCGACCACCUGGACUGAUACUGACACUGAGGUGCGAAAGCGUGGGGAGCAAACAGG